GCUGAACCAGACUGUUGGUGUAUUUGUGUUUUUGGGAAGGAAGGAUUCUGAUAAGGUUGCUCGGAUAAUCAACCGAUCUGUUUUUGAUUGUAUAGACCGCUUGCCUUUGAGUAUCUUGACUUCUCUCCUUGCCACCCCUUCAUCUCUGGUAUCCGAGCAUGGAUCUCGUUGCCUUUCAUGGACGUUGAGGAUAUCAAUGUCGGGUCCAUCGACGUAUUCGGGAUUCAGCUGGAUUUCUGUGAUGUUGCCAACACGAAGGAAGAGGCAUUGUGGCUUCUAGGCAUGCUUGAUUGGAAAUGAAAGGAAUCAGAUAUCUAUACCAGAUUGCUUCGGUCGGAAUGCAAACUCGUAGGCUAUAUGCAGGGCCAAGAGCAUUAGGGAAUGCGGCGGUACUUGACCGGGACAACACCGGCCUUGUACUGGGCGAUCUUGAGGAACAUAGGUUCGGAAAGGUCGAAGUGGCGCU